AAACGUAGGGGGCCAGCGUUGUCCGGAAUUACUGGGCGUAAAGCGCGCGCAGGCGGUCUAGUAAGCAGUGGGUGAAAUUCCAGGGCUCAACCCUGGGGCUGCUCGCUGAACUGCUAGACUAGAGUACGUGAGAGGGCAGUGGAAUUCCUGGUGUAGCGGUGGAAUGCGUAAAUAUCAGGAAGAACACCCGUGGCGAAGGCUGCUGCCUGGAACGUUACUGACGCUGAGGCGCGAAAGCUAGGGGAGCGAACGGGAUUAGAAACCCUAGUAGUCC
rnacentral:rRNA from 1 species